CCUACGGGAGGCUGCAGUGAGGAAUAUUGGUCAAUGGGCGGGAGCCUGAACCAGCCAAGUCGCGUGAGGGAAGACGGUCCUAUGGAUUGUAAACCUCUUUAGGCGGGGAGCAAUGCCGGGCACGUGUGCCCGGAGGGAGAGUACCCGCAGAAUAAGCAUCGGCUAACUCCGGGCCAGCAGCCGCGGUAAUACGGGGGAUGCGAGCGUUACCCGGAUUUAUUGGGUUUAAAGGGUGCGUAGGCGGAUUGUUAAGUCAGCGGUAAAAUGUCCGGGCUAAACCUGGGACGGCUGUGGAAACUGGGCAGCUUGAGUGGGGGAGAAGUAUGCGGAAUGCGUGGUGUAGCGGUGAAAUGCAUAGAGAUCACGCAGAACUC
rnacentral:rRNA from 1 species